ensembl:lncRNA
AGCUCCCGCGAGGCUUCGAGCGGACUUUGAUGUUUCCUCCGGUUUCUGUGUGGACCAGGAUCCACUAGAUGGAAUGUCGAGGCGACACACCCGCUGAUAGGAAGAAGGAAUGCUUGACGUGCGGACACAUAAGGCUCCUCUUCUAACAGAUAUGUGCAUGCAUACAGCAGAAUAUGGAUUGAUUGGAUUAUGGUGUCCGCCACCGAUGUGAAAGGAUGCGGAGAACACGCUCAUCAAUGUGCUACAACGUCAACAUUCUAAUCAAAAUACGAGGUGCUUCCCAGGCGAAUUGUUUCCAACAGCGGCAGGGACUCUGGGACUUAAAGGGAUCGCUUCAUAACAAGCUUAGAAUCUAAAUAAAAAAGGAAAUCAGUGGAGACCAAGCCGGCAAAUCUGAAUGUAUGUUUGAGAAGAUAUGCUUCACUAACAAGUCGCAUCACAAAUAUUGAUAUCCAGUCUGAAGUGUUACAGUGUGAUAACGACUGAUAAUGAGGUGAGACGGGUUCCAUGUAAAUGAACGCGGAAAAGAUUCUGUAUUUUUAUGCUAAAUCGGCCUAAUAAAAACAUCAGGGAUUCAUAUAUUUCACCAGGAAUGAUACAAAUCUCUGUAUUAUUCAUGGUCUUUGCCCAAACCUGCUAAAUGGAUCAAUCUGUGUUAACGCAGGAACAACCGUAGAAAUAAAGGACCGCGGUAACUAAAACAACGAUGCCACGGGGCGCCCUUUGAAAACAAAACAAUGAAAAUACGAAGAAAAUGAAUAUUUUAACCUAUCGUCGUCUCCAGAGAACACCUCAUUAAGCUCCAUAACGAGUGAGCGACAGGCCACAUUAGACCUCGCACAGCAGGAGGCUGCUGCUGCACAAUCUGAUGAAACUUUCCAGGCAAACACUUGUCAGCGGCGCCGUGAUCGCGGCGCAGAAGCAGGUGUUUUGUUUAUGACAGCUGGUGGGAAACACAAAAAUCAAUGGGUGCACCGAAAUAUUCCUCAUAGAACUUUAAAACAAUUCCAGUUUCAGUCGCCGCGUGAUAACUCGGUUUAAGCGAG